rnacentral:rRNA from 1 species
UGGGGAAUAUUGGACAAUGGGCGAAAGCCUGAUCCAGCCAUGCCGCGUGUGUGAAGAAGGUCUUCGGAUUGUAAAGCACUUUAAAGUUGGGAGGAAGGGCAGUAAGUUAAAUACCUUGCUGUUUUGACGUUACCGACAGAAUAAGCACCGGCUAACUUCGUGCCAGCAGCCGCGGUAAUACGAAGGGUGCAAGCGUUAAUCGGAAUUACUGGGCGUAAAGCGCGCGUAGGUGGUUUGAUAAGUUGGAUGUGAAAGCCCCGGGCUCAACCUGGGAAUUGCAUCCAAAACUGUCUGACUAGAGUAUGGCAGAGGGUGGUGGAAUUUCCUGUGUAGCGGUGAAAUGCGUAGAUAUAGGAAGGAACACCAGUGGCGAAGGCGACCGCCUGGGGCUAAUACUGACACUGAGGUGCGAAAGCGUGGGGAGCAAACAAGGAUUAGAUACCCUGGUAGUCCACGCCGUAAAACGAUGUCGACUAGCCGUUGGGGAUCCUUGAGAUCUUAGUGGCGCAGCUAACGCAUUAAGUCGACCGCCU